UACGUAGGGUGCGAGCGUUGUCCGGAAUUAUUGGGCGUAAAGAGCUCGUAGGCGGUCUGUCGCGUCGAUCGUGAAAACUUGGGGCUUAACCCUGAGCUUGCGGUCGAUACGGGCAUGACUGGAGUUCGGCAGGGGAGACUGGAAUUCCUGGUGUAGCGGUGAAAUGCGCAGAUAUCAGGAGGAACACCGGUGGCGAAGGCGGGUCUCUGGGCCGAUUCUGACGCUGAGGAGCGAAAGCGUGGGGAGCGAACAGG
rnacentral:rRNA from 1 species